ACUUAUAUAGUUUAAACAAAACAAUGGUUUGUGGGACCAUAAAACUUAACAUUUUCCCUCAAAGGUU
rnacentral:tRNA from 1 species